AGAACGAACGCUGGCGGCAGGCUUAACACAUGCAAGUCGAGCGGGCGUAGCAAUAUGUCAGCGGCAGACGGGUGAGUAACGCGUGGGAACAUACCUUUGGUUCGGAACAACCCAGGGAAACUUGGGCUAAUACCGGAUAAGCCCUUACGGGGAAAGAUUUAUCGCCGAAAGAUUGGCCCGCGUCUGAUUAGCUAGUUGGUGAGGUAACGGCUCACCAAGGCGACGAUCAGUAGCUGGUCUGAGAGGAUGAUCAGCCACAUUGGGACUGAGACACGGCCCAAACUCCUACGGGAGGCAGCAGUGGGGAAUAUUGGACAAUGGGCGCAAGCCUGAUCCAGCCAUGCCGCGUGAGUGAUGAAGGCCCUAGGGUUGUAAAGCUCUUUUGUGCGGGAAGAUAAUGACGGUACCGCAAGAAUAAGCCCGGCUAACUUCGCGCCAGCAGCCGC
rnacentral:rRNA from 1 species